rnacentral:misc_RNA from 1 species
AAGUCGUAACAAGGUUUCCGUAGGUGAACCUGCGGAAGGAUCAUUAUUACGUUAUCCAACGUCAAACCCAAUUGUGAAAAUGUUUCCUCGGAGGUUGAAGGAUUGAGGAGAAGUUUGGUUCAUGACCCUUUUGUUUGGGCAACUUCUCUUACCUGAUAGACAGGUCAACCUUUUAACUUCUGUUUAUGAAAUUCCCGGUCAUGAACAAUUUUACGUAUCAAAAUUUAACCCCAUGUACAAAAUAUGAACUAAAACUCUGUUAAACUUUUGGCCUCGGUCAAGGUUUAAUCGAAAAAUCGAAAUUAAGAAAACAACUCUUAACAACGGAUAUCUUGGUUCUC